rnacentral:rRNA from 1 species
ACGAACGCUGGCGGCGUGCUUAACACAUGCAAGUCGAACGGAAAGGCCCUGCUUUUGUGGGGUGCUCGAGUGGCGAACGGGUGAGUAACACGUGAGUAACCUGCCCUUGACUUUGGGAUAACUUCAGGAAACUGGGGCUAAUACCGGAUAGGAGCUCCUGCUGCAUGGUGGGGGUUGGAAAGUUUCGGCGGUUGGGGAUGGACUCGCGGCUUAUCAGCUUGUUGGUGGGGUAGUGGCUUACCAAGGCUUUGACGGGUAGCCGGCCUGAGAGGGUGACCGGCCACAUUGGGACUGAGAUACGGCCCAGACUCCUACUGGAGGCAGGAGUGGGGAAGAUUGCACAAUGGGCGGAAGCCUGAUGCAGCGACGCCGCGUUCGGGAUGACGGCCUUCGGGUUGUAAACCGCGUUCGCCUGUGACGAAGCGUGAGUGACGGUAAUGGGUAAAGAAGCACCGGCUAACUACGUG